rnacentral:rRNA from 1 species
GACGAACGCUGGCGGCGUGCCUAAUACAUGCAAGUCGAGCGGACGGAUGGGACCUUGCUCCCAGACUGUCAGCGGCGGACGGGUGAGUAACACGUGGGCAACCUGCCUGUAAGACUGGGAUAACUCCGGGAAACCGGGGCUAAUACCGGUUAACUCUUUCCCUCCCAUGAGGGAAAGCUGAAAGAUCGCAUCUCGCUAUCACUUACAGAUGGGCUCGCGGUGCAGUAGGUAGUUGGUGAGGUAAAGGCUCACCAAGGUGGCGAUGCGUAGCCGACCAGAGGGAGGGGUCGGCCACACUGGGAGUGGGACGCGGCCCAGGCUCCUGCGAGAGGCAGCAGAAGGGUAUGUUCCGCAAUGGACGAAAGUCUGACGGAGUGACGCCACGUGAGUGAUGGAGGUGCUCGGUGCGUAAAACUCUGUUGUCAGGUGAGAACAAGUACCGCAGGAACUGCCGGGAGCGUGACGGUACCUGGUCAGAAAGCCACGGCUAACUACGUG